UACGGAGGGUGCGAGCGUUGUCCGGAAUCACUGGGCGUAAAGGGCGCGUAGGCGGCCUGAUAAGUAGGGGGUGAAAUCCUGCGGCUUAACCGCAGGGCUGCCUUCUAAACUGUCAGGCUAGAGCACAGUAGAGGCAGGUGGAAUUCCCGGUGUAGCGGUGGAAUGCGUAGAGAUCCGGAGGAACACCAGAGGCGAAGGCGGCCUACUGGGCUGCACCUGACGCUGAGCCGCGAAAGCCAGGGGAGCGAACGGG
rnacentral:rRNA from 1 species